AGGCUGGCACGUGGGCUGUAAAUUAUGAGUGAUUAUAAUAAAAACGACAUCACCACAGCACAGCGUGGCUACAAACGCUACCUGGCUGACCAAAUGGCUGUUCCAGGAAGAACACUUAGACGAUGGAAAAGGAUAAGGCAAGUAGCUUCACUAGUGUUUAAUUUAUUAAAGCUGUUCAGUCAUAAUACGAUAGUAUAUAUUCUAAACCUUUAUUUUUAUUUUAUAGGAACAAGGAACAAUCAAGUCAAGCAGAAACAACGUUGAGUAAAGUAUUUCAACCUAGGCUGUACAUAAUAUUAUUAUUAUUAUUAUUAUUAUUAUUUAUUUCUUAGCAGACGCCCUUAUCCAGGGCGACUUACAAUUGUUACAAGAUAUCACAUUAUACAUUAUACAGAUUACAUUAUUUUUACAUACAAUUACCCAUUUAUACAGUUGGGUUUUUUUUUUUUUUUUUUUACUGGAGCAAUCUAGGUAAAGUACCUUGAGUCAAGGAUACAACACAACAGCAGUGUCCCCUACUGGGGAUUGAACCCACAACCCUCCGGUCAAGAGUCCAGAGCCCUAACCACUACUCCAGGCACAGUUAAAACCUGUUAAAAUGAUAGUAAAAGAAGUGAAAUAACGAGAUCUACUAUUUGUUUUGUAGAAUAAAUAGAAAGCGCUACAAAUGAUUUAGGAUUAAUUCUGAAGGAAGUAGUUAAUUUUCAAACGGCCGUGUUUGGUAGUUGAUUGUACAUUACUGUGUGGCUUAUUCUGUGUAUAAUAUUUUUUGUACUUUGUUAAAUGCAAUUGAUUUACUGUUUAUGUGUGGGUGUGCGUCUGUAGGGUUCUUUAACACAUGACGAGAUUCGUACUGUAAGCAACACUGAAGAUGAUGACAGUCUAGAAACUGAUGAAGACGUUGAUGUACCAGAAUCCAGUAAUCGAACGGGAACGGGAACCUGAAAUAACCCCAAGUGAACAGGAGAAUGCAGAUCUUGAGUCAAUUACAUGGAACAGGACAUUGAGAAUCCUGGCAGUGAACCUUUUCAUUCUCUUGAUGAAUCUACACAAGAAAAGUACCUGCAAGAGGAUGACAAAGUGUAUUCGUCUCAACAACAGAAUGGCCUGCUGCUCAUGGCUUUGAAAAUGAAGCACAAGCUUACCAAGGAAGCAGUCUCUGACAUGCUGGACAUUAUUAAUCUAUUGGCUGGUAAAGACACUGUACCACAAUCUUGGUACCACUUAGAAAAACCAUUUGAAGGUUUAAAAUAUUUUGUAGAAAUACAUCAUGUUUGCAAUUUCUGUGAAUCUUACUUAGGUAAAGAAACGCACUUACUGUGAGAAAGAAUGGAUAGAGCAAAGGAGUCUGAAAGAAGGAAACUUUUUCUUUCAUUUGCCUUUACAUGCACAGAUCAAAGCAUUUUUAGAGGACCCUGAAUUGUCACAAAAGGUAGUAAGAAAUAGACAUGGCUUCCAGUCACAGACAUUCUGUGACAUAACAUUGUUUAUGCCAGCUGGUACACAGAUAGUGACCAGGCAUCCUGCAUUCCUUUUGCUAUGAAAAUGUUCUUUCAGAUCUUACACUGUAUAGAUAGGAACUCCCGUUCUCUCACCACGGCUAACUUGGUUCGAGGAACUACCGUUCCUUUCGAUUUAUGAAAAACGCCACAGGUACAAUUGUAAUAAUGUUGUAUAUAAAAGGCAGUUGUUAAAAUUCUUGUUAAAUUUUAGCCUCUGCUUAUACAUGUUUCAAACUACCAUGUGUUUUUUCUGUGCAAUGUAUUUGACCUACAAAUGUACAAUAAACAGUAAGAAAGUCAAA